UUUAAAUGUGAAUACAACAGUACUUAAGUAUCUCAACGAUUGAAAGCCAUCCUGAAUUUGAUUGUAUACUUUCAAUCAAUUUCUAGUCAGGAUGAUGAGGAACCUAAUAAUUGCCGUUGCCUUUGCCUUGUUGGCAAUUGUAAUUAUCGAAAUCAAUGCAAUGUCGGCUGAGGCGAAUAACGUGGAAGGCUUACGUUUUGGGGGAAAUAGGAGGAACUUGAGCGACAAUGCGACUUGUGACCAACCCAACAACCGGACAAAUCUUGGGACAAGGUUCAGGAACAGCACGUGCAAUUUUAGCUGUUUCUUAAAGUACAUUUUCCAAGGGAUUCAAGCCCAGGGGUGUUUAGCGGGUGGAAAUUGUACCUGUUAUAAAAAUAAUGGCACUUCAACAUAAACAGAUGAAAUAAAGCGAAUAAAUAAAUAAAUAUGAGUGUAUCCUCCAA